GCGACCCCAGGAUGGGCGAGGCCACCCGCCGAGUUUAAGCAUAUCAAUAAUCGGAGGAUAAG
rnacentral:rRNA from 1 species